GAUGAAGAACGCAGCGAAACGCGAUAUGUAAUGUGAAUUGCAAAAUUCAGUGAAUCAUCGAAUCUUUGAACGCACAUGGCGCCUUCCAGUAUCCUGGGAGGCAUGCCUGUCCGAGCGUCGUUUCAACCCUCGAGCCCCCGUGGCCCGGCGUUGGGGAUCUGCCACGGCAGGCCCCUAAAACCAGUGGCGGACCCGAAGGCCCUCUCCUUUGCGCAGUAGCAUCAGCCUCGCAUUGGGAUCCCUCGGCGUCCUGCCUCUAAACCCCCCAAAAGUCCGCUCCGGCGGCACCAAGGUUGACCUCGGAUCAGGUAGGAAUACCCGCUGAACUUAAGCAUAUCAAUAAGCGGAGUA
rnacentral:misc_RNA from 1 species